UUUUAUUUUUGGUAUUCACUUUAAUGUUUAUGAUUACUACACUGUAUAAAAAUACCCAAAAGGGUGGAUUUAGGUGCUAAAUAUUGAAAGGAAAAUAUCAUGUACUAUAAAAUAUUAAGUAGUAGGCUUUAGUAACCAAUUAGGCAGGAAGUGGCUCUGUCUUUUUCUGCCAGUCUGUAAUCAACCACCAGUGAUUACUGAGGUGUGUGAUGAAAGCUUAAGAGUUAAGGGACAGGUCUUCCUAAGAGAGAAGAUACAUGAGCAUAAAAAAUGCCACAGUGAAACUGGUCAUAGUGGUAUAUGCCUGUAAUCCUAGCACUAUGAAGUUAAAGUUUGAGGCCAGCCUGGGAUAUAUAGCAAGACUCUGUCUUACAUUUUUUUUUAAAAGGAAUAUCACAGUCAGAACCAUGGUCUUCCAGAAAUCUGAUGGAAAAGUAUGAUUAUUCUCUAUUAUGUCACCCAUGUGUUUGAAGUAUAUUUCCAGAU